rnacentral:rRNA from 1 species
GACGAACGCUGGCGGCGUGCCUAAUACAUGCAAGUCGAACGAGAGCGACCGGUGCUUGCACUGGUCAAUCUAGUGGCGAACGGGUGAGUAACACGUGGGUAACCUGCCCAUCAGAGGGGGAUAACAUUCGGAAACGGAUGCUAAAACCGCAUAGGUCUUCGAACCCCAUGGUUUGAAGAGGAAAAGAGGCGCAAGCUUCUGCUGAUGGAUGGACCCGCGGUGCAUUAGCUAGUUGGUGAGGUAACGGCUCACCAAGGCCGUGAUGCAUAGCCGACCUGAGAGGGUGAUCGGCCACAUUGGGACUGAGACACGGCCCAAACUCCUACGGGAGGCAGCAGUAGGGAAUCUUCCGCAAUGGACGCAAGUCUGACGGAGCAACGCCGCGUGAGUGAAGAAGGUUUUCGGAUCGUAAAACUCUGUUGUUAGAGAAGAAUAAGUGCUAGAGUAACUGUUAGCGCCUUGACGGUAUCUAACCAGAAAGCCACGGCUAACUACGUG